rnacentral:rRNA from 1 species
AGAGUUUGAUCAUGGCUCAGGACGAACGCUGGCGGCGCGCUUAACACAUGCAAGUCGAGCGAGAACCAGGCCUUCGGGCCUGGGGAAAGCGGCGAACGGGUGAGUAACACGUGGGCAACCCACCCUUGGUACCGGGAUAGCCCGGGGAAACCCGGAUUAAUACCGGAUGGCCCAACAGCUCUUCGGGGCGGUUGGAAAAGGUAGCUUCGGCCUCCGACCAAGGACGGGCCCGCGGCGGAUUAGCUUGCUGGUGAGGCAACGGCUCACCAAGGCGACGAUCCGUAGCUGGUCUGAGAGGACGAUCAGUCACACUGGGACUGAGACACGGCCCAGACUCCUACGGGAGGCAGCAGUGGGGAAUCUUGCGCAAUGGGCGAAAGCCUGACGCAGCGACGCCGCGUGGGGGAAGAAGGCUUUCGGGUUGUAAACCCCUUUCAGGAAGGACGAAGCUACUCGGGUUAAUAGCCCAGAGGGUGACGGUACUUUCAGAAGAAGCCCCGGCUAACUACGUGCCAGCAGCCGCGGUA